GAUGAACGCUGGCGGCGUGCCUAAUACAUGCCAGUCGAGCGAACGGACGAGAAGCUUGCUUUUCUGAUGUUAGCGGCGGACGGGUGAGUAACACGUGGAUAACCUACCUAUAAGACUGGGAUAACUUCGGGAAACCGGAGCUAAUACCGGAUAAUAUUUUGAACCGCAUGGUUCAAAAGUGAAAGACGGUCUUGCUGUCACUUAUAGAUGGAUCCGCGCUGCAUUAGCUAGUUGGUAAGGUAACGGCUUACCAAGGCAACGAUGCAUAGCCGACCUGAGAGGGUGAUCGGCCACACUGGAACUGAGACACGGUCCAGACUCCUACGGGAGGCAGCAGUAGGGAAUCUUCCGCAAUGGGCGAAAGCCUGACGGAGCAACGCCGCGUGAGCGAUGAAGGUCUUCGGAUCGUAAAACUCUGUUAUUAGGGAAGAUCAUAUGUGUAAGUAACUGUGCACAUCUUGACGGUACCUAAUCAGAAAGCCACGGCUAACUACGUG
rnacentral:rRNA from 1 species